CAUCCUCCACCCUCCAGUGAACUCAGAGAGGAGAUAUGAACAACACAACAAUCUUUGCAGCUAGCUCUGCUGAUCCUAGGAGAGUGUUUGACUGAGCUCUUAAGUUGUUGAUCUGAGCAAUGCUGAGGGGCAGCAAAAUUAAUAUCUAAGACUGGUGAGACUGAGGUGUGGAGGAGGGAGACCACUGACGGCCAGUCUGUGUGGUGAUCACCAUGGCAAACACAGGCUAUUGCACACCACCAGAACCAGCGGAGAUGACACUGUGGGGGGUGAUAAAAGAGCCAAGCCAAAGGUUUCACUAGACAAGGAGUGGGCGGCUCUAGCCAGGAAGAUGCUCAAGGGAGCUGACCCGGAGGAGAGGCUCACCUGGAGAACCCCCGAGUACGCAGGGUUCAGUACAGUUGAGGAGAGCAACAAGUUCUACAAGGCCAACAUAGCGGCCGGUCAGCAAGGGUUGAGUGUGGCCUUUGACCUGCCCACUCACAGGGGGUACGAUUCUGAUAACCCCCUCGCUGUGGGGGACGUGGGAAUGGCAGGGGUCGUUGUGGACUCAGUGGAGGAUAUGAAGGGAGUCAAGCUGGAGGAGCUUCAGGGGACUAUCCAGAACGAUAUCUUGAAGGAGUUCAUGGUCUGCAACACGUACAUCUACCCACCAGAGUUCUCCAUGAAGAUCAUUGGAGAUAUAUUCACGUUACAGGUUAGAAUUGGUGUGCAUGGGUACUUAGGGGAUUAUGUGAUUUGUUAAGUGAUGGGUGGAUCCUUGUAAGCAAUAGCACCUGUACCUUUAACCAGCGGAGUUCAUGAAUAUUCAUGUUCUCCUAUGAUAUCAAUAGCCCAACGUUUAUAUCUAACGUAAUAAUCAUAUAGAUAAGUAUUUCAACAAACUAACCUGUAUGUGAUCACUCAAAAUUAGCUUCAAAACAGGCCCAUUUGGGAACAUUACUAAGGCUAUACAUAAUGUACACCUGGUACCCAUGAUCUCAAACACACUGCACAAUACACGACCACAAUGCAUGAAUCUGUACCAGGACUUUCCCAAAUUCAAUUAGCUUAUCAAAACACUGUUCACACAGGGCUUAUACAGUUUCCCAAAUUCAAUUAGCUUAUCAAACACUGCUCACACAGGGCUUAUACAGUUUCCCAAAUUCAAUUAGCUUAUCAAAGCAAAGGAAAGGGGAUUGGAAACCACCUGGGCCUCCCUGUGCAAUGGUUGAAACACUCCCGUUAUAUGUAGCGAUCACGAAUAUUUUUAGUAGGUUGACCGUUCUAUUUAGCCCACUAGCCAUCACUCAGGGGCUGGGAGGUACUCUAGAGAAGUAAGGUUUACAUCAAUGACUAGCUCACUUUUUUAACUAAGACUACUAUAUUCCUUUGUUCAAUAUAUUCAUACUUUUGUACAGUGUAAUUAUUAUAUAAUUAUUAUGUGAACACAUUGAAUAAAAAUGGAAGCUUUAAUAUAACUUCCGAAAAUUGUUUUGAAAUGAUGUAUUAACCUUCAUUUGUGUAUGUAGGUCAGUGGAUUUUAGUGCUAUUCAAUUUUCAAUCAAAUGAUAGGCAAUUUGGGCUUGUUUCAAUAAGAAUCAUGGAAUGAAUGUUUAAUUUCUGCGUAUAUAGAUGUUUGAAGACAGUGCAUGUAUGUGAAUUUUAUACACGAUAGAGCAUUACAACUUUGCCCCCCCCCCCU